AUGAAAUUCUUUGCUGACAGGAAGAGAUCAGAAAGACAACUAGCAGUGGGUGACAUGGUCUAUGUUAAGCUACAACCAUACAGACACACCAGUUUAAGUAUCCAUAGGCACCUGAAACUCCACUCCAAGUAUUAUGGUCCCUUCAGAGUAAUGGAGAAAAUUGGAAUUGUGACUUACAGGUUAUUACUACAUGAGGGCUGCCAACUCCAUCCCACCUUCCAUGUCAGCCAGCUCAAGAAGCAGCUCGGUCCAGAAGCAGUACCUAACCCAAAGCUACCAUUGUUGGAUGAGCAAGGGAACAUCCUGAUACAACCUGAAGCUAUACUGAAAAGGAAAGUGAUUCCUCAAGUACAAGCUGAUAUCAGCAUUCCUGUGGACCAAUGGCGUAUCAAAUGGCUCAACCUGCCAAUGGAGAACGCUACUUGGGAGGAUGCAGCUUUCAUUCAAAAGGUUUUUCCUGAUUUCCAUCCUUAA
rnacentral:rRNA from 1 species